GGGGGCGUACCGGUUUCGACGGGGGUGUGGAGGCAGGACAAGCGGGCAGAGGCGCCUGGCCUCUAUAAAACGGGUAACUUAUAAAUUAAAGAACAACAACGAAGUUGCUGUCGCUGCCUAAUUAAGGCAGCCGUCUGAACUGGGAGGGCCGCGGCCCGGGGAAGGCGUCGUGUAGCGGCGAACGUGAGGCGCGAAAGAGUUGACGCGCCCAUGCAUCAUGACUCUACUGAAACGCAAGGUCCGUCAGGUGUCCUUGCGCAGAGGGAAUGCCUGAAUCCUGACUGCGCCCGGAGAAAGUCCUGUUAAAGCGCUUUCGGACGCGGGUUCGACUCCCGCCGCCUCCACCA
rnacentral:tmRNA from 1 species